GACGUUUUCCUGAAUGCACUUUUGUCUUUAACCUUUGAGUAGAUAUUAUAAUCAAUGGUGCAUGAAGGCGGCACAAUUUGAUUUUUGCUACCCCAGAGCUAACUUGCAACUUGUUAGCAAGUUGGAGAAAUCAAGUUAGACUCCAGAGGUCUAUGAUGGUCGGACGUGACAAACUCGCGUGCAGAAAGAUUUGGCGCCCAGUGAAACCAAGUGAAAUGGUGUGUGGGUAUGAAGGAUUGUGCCACCAAGAAAACUCAGAGAAGUUCCAGCUCAAUUCCACUGAAAAGAGGCCGGCAGCUUCUUAAAAAAUGGAAGACUAUGCUAGACCAUCAGAUCAAAUUGCUGAACAAACAGCGUACCAAAAUGCCUACGUUAUGCACUGUGGAACGCUCUGCGGAUGGACAGCUGUGGAAUCCACAAAGGUCAAAGAGGCUUUUGUUACGAGGAGGUUCCAAAACAUCCAUGAAG